rnacentral:rRNA from 1 species
AGACGCUGCGGCAUGCUUAACACAUGCAAGUCGAACGAGACCUUCGGGUCUAGUGGCGCACGGGUGCGUAACGCGUGGGAAUCUGCCCUUUGCUACGGAAUAACUCAGAGAAAUUUGUGCUAAUACCGUAUAAUGUCGCAAGACCAAAGAUUUAUCGGCAAAGGAUGAGCCCGCGUAGGAUUAGCUUGUUGGUGAGGUAAAGGCUCACCAAGGCGACGAUCCUUAGCUGGUCUGAGAGGAUGAUCAGCCACACUGGGACUGAGACACGGCCCAGACUCCUACGGGAGGCAGCAGUGGGGAAUAUUGGACAAUGGGCGAAAGCCUGAUCCAGCAAUGCCGCGUGAGUGAUGAAGGCCUUAGGGUUGUAAAGCUCUUUUACCAGGGAUGAUAAUGACAGUACCUGGAGAAUAAGCUCCGGCUAACUCCGUGCCAGCAGCCGCGGUAAUACGGAGGGAGCUAGCGUUGUUCGGAAUUCUGGCGU